rnacentral:rRNA from 1 species
AACGAACGCUGGCGGCAGGCUUAACACAUGCAAGUCGAACGGAUCCUUCGGGAUUAGUGGCGCACGGGUGAGUAACGCGUGGGAAUGUACCCCUUGGUAAGGAAUAAUAUCUGGAAACGGAUACUAAUACCUUAUAAUGACUUUGGUCCAAAGAUUUAUCGCCAAGGGAUCAGCCCGCGUCUGAUUAGGUAGUUGGUGAGGGAACGGCUCACCAAGCCGACGAUCAGUAGCUGGUCUGAGAGGAUGAUCAUCCACACUGGGACUGAGACACGGCCCAGAAUCCUACGGGAGGCAGCAGUGAGGAAUAUUGGCGAAUGGGGGAAACCAUGAUCAAGCCAUGCCGCGUGAGUGAAGAAGGCCUUAGGGUUGUAAAGCUCUUUCAAUGGUGAAGAUAAUGACGGUAGCCAUAGAGGAAGCCCCGGCUAAAUUCGUGCCAGCGGCCGCCGUAA